UACACUAGCUGUGGGGUGUGUGUGUUACACUAGCUGUGGGGUGUGUGUGUUACACUAGCUCUGUGGAGUGUGUGUUACACUAGCUGUGGGGUGUGCGCGCGUAUGGGUGCCAUAUGAGUGUGUGUGGAGGGGAGGUGGGAUCCUAUAUUGAUCAUGUUUAGCUAGACGACAUGUCUUUUCUCUGACAGUGGGGUUGGUUUUUUUAUGAUUGGUCUUAUGAUGCCCUAUUUAAAGUCCAUCCAGACUGAUUGGUUAUUCCUUAACCAGUGGUAAAAAAAAUGCUGUUCUUCAAAAGCUGUUCUGGACCAUCUAAUACCACGGUUGUAUUUCUGAAGAUGCUAUUUAAUUUACCUGGGAAAUGGACUGGACUUUCUCUUCUUCGAAUGUGAACUGGACAACUUCUUCUCUCCUUUCAAAUAAACUGGACAUUCUUGGGGGCUUAAAGCCGGACUCCUUGGGGGACAGCAGUUAAGCCUUGAAGUGUGGGCCAGUAACCUGAGCUUAAUGGUUCCAGUUCCCAGAUUGCAUCUGCCGCUGUGCCCUUGAGCAAGACACUUUACUGUUAGAUCAAAUUGCUCCAGGGAUCCUGCACUGUGGCAUACCCUGUGCCUCUCAACCGCACUGCAACAUCACAAAAAAAGGACAGUACAAUUGUAUGCUACUGUACUCUACUCUGUUCUAUUCCUAAUGUACUAUGCUCUUCUUUCUCCUGUCAAAGCCAUAGAGCCAAGGGAUAGAUGGAUCAUAUUCAUUAUUUUCUACUGAUCUCCCUGAACUGUUCUAGUUGUUAACAUUGUCUGUAAAUAGUUCUGAUUGUUUGUGUGUUGCAUUAAUUAUUGUCUUAUUCCGAUGGCCAAACAGUUAGACUUCCUGUAGUUGAAUGUACCCGUCUCUGUUCUCUGAGCGAAUGUGUGUGAUCUAACCAGUAGACGGCUAUGUUGUCGUAUAUUCAGAGCCAUGAUUUAUCGUACGCUUGAGGGAGAAGUUGUCCCUAACCACCGAUCUAGGAUCAGAUUAGCCAACUCCAAAGCUUAGCCAUUGGGGAGGAUACAAAAAGAUAUGACCCAGGAGCAGUGGUUAGGGACAAUGGCUCCCAACCCCAGACAGUAUA
ensembl:lncRNA